GACGAACGCUGGCGGCGUGCUUAACACAUGCAAGUCGAACGGAAAGGCCCUGCUUUUGUGGGGUGCUCGAGUGGCGAACGGGUGAGUAACACGUGAGUAACCUGCCCUUGACUUUGGGAUAACUUCAGGAAACUGGGGCUAAUACCGGAUAGGAGCUCCUGCUGCAUGGUGGGGGUUGGAAAGUUUCGGCGGUUGGGGAUGGACUCGCGGCUUAUCAGCUUGUUCGUGGGGUAGUGGCUUACCAAGGCUUUGACGGGUAGCCGGCCUGAGAGGGUGACCGGCCACAUUGGGACUGAGAUACGGCCCAGACUCCUACGGGAGGCAGCAGUGGGGAAUAUUGCACAAUGGGCGAAGCCUGAUGCAGCAACGCCGCGUGCGGGAUGACGGCCUUCGGGUUGUAAACCGCUUUCGCCUGUGACGAAGCGUGAGUGACGGUAAUGGGUAAAGAAGCACCGGCUAACUACGUG
rnacentral:rRNA from 1 species